rnacentral:lncRNA from 1 species
UUCUUCUCCUUCUUCUUAUCCUCCUCCUUCUCCUUCUCCUUCUUCUCUUCUUCUUCUUCUUCCUUCCUUUUAUUUUUCCUCUUUCUUCUCCUCUUGUCCCCUUCUUCGGGCUGAAUUGGCUAAGAAUGCCUUUUUGGAGCUAAUUAUGUCAUUUCGAGGAUAAUUAGCUAAGUAUAAGUCAUGUUUUAUUAAAUAGACCAUUUAGG